rnacentral:tRNA from 1 species
UGUGAAAUGGCAGAAUUAAUGCGUAAACUUUAAGCGUUUAUUAUGGCUUGUUUUAGGCCUUUCUCAA